rnacentral:rRNA from 1 species
GAUGAACGCUGGCGGCGUGCCUAAUACAUGCAAGUCGAGCGAACGGACGAGAAUCUUGCUUCUCUGAUGUUAGCGGCGGACGGGUGAGUAACACGUGGAUAACCUACCUAUAAGACUGGGAUAACUUCGGGAAACCGGAGCUAAUACCGGAUAAUAUUUUGAACCGCAUGGUUCAAAAGUGAAAGACGGUCUUUCUGUCACUUAUAGAUGGAUCCGCGCUGCAUUAGCUAGUUGGUAAGGUAACGGCUUACCAAGGCAACGAUGCAUAGCCGACCUGAGAGGGUGAUCGGCCACACUGGAACUGAGACACGGUCAAGACUCCUACGGGAGGCAGCAGUAGGGAAUCUUCCGCAAUGGGCGAAAGCAUGACGGAGCAACGCCGCGUGAGUGAUGAAGGUCUUCGGAUAGUAAAAAUCUGUUAUUAGGGAAGAACAUAUGUGUAAGUAACUGUGCACAUCUUGACGGUACCUAAUCAGAAAGCCACGGCUAACUACGUG